AAAAAAAGUAUUUAAUAGCUUUGCGGUUCCAUGUUUGGAUUAGUAUGCACGAUGUGUAGGUGCGUUCCUAAGGCAAAAAAUGGGAUAUUUUCAAUCUAUAUGUAGGUAUUUUCUUAAUAAUUCUAGGUCUUACAAACAGUGCAAACACCGUAAGAAAACCUGGAUUUCAAUAGUGUCAACUCGCAGUUGGGUAGCAUAGUAAUAUAUACUCAAACCACAGCAGCAAGAUGACUGAAGGCAGGUAUUAUUUAAUUACCAUUUCAUGAUAUCAAGACUACUACACUUAAUAUUGCAUCUAAAAGAUAGUCAAUGCAAAGAGUACAGAAGAAAAAGGGUGGGUAUUUGGGUAAUAAUUUUAUAGAAUUUAUCUUAAAUUUGAUUCGAAUUAGCAAAUGACACACAUUACGCAGUUUGCCUCGCUUUGUCAACACAAGGUCAGACCCAAGAUAUUGACUUAUAGGCAGUUUUAUAUAACUACGAUAAGGCGAUAGGAACUAUAAUUGGUUAAUUUCCAUUGUUUUUCUGAUGUUCAAUUUCGAUUUCUUGUACUAUAAAAGUAGUCGUUAAAACCCUAUCUUGGAUUGUAAUUUAGGAGUAAAUAGUUUCAUAUUAUAUUAUUUUUAUUUUUAGUAUAUACAAUAAUGAUCCCUAUUACUUAACUAGUUGCCUAGCAACAAGCAUUGUUACUGAGUUUUUCUGACGGUAGAGACCUCCGCCCAAGUUCAAUUUUUUACUGCGACUGUUUAAUUACACAAAAACAUUCUUUUGUUUGUUUAAUUAAGGAAUGCUUUCGUGCAGAUUAUUUUAACCGCCAUAGUUAUACUAUACCUAGAUAAGAAAGUAAAACAGAAUGAACAUGCUUUGUUAUAAAUACACUACGGUUAUACAGUACUCGGUAGCUCGGUUCUUGCGUAAGACUACAUACUAGAUUAUGGGAGGCAGGAGUUAGCUGUAUGCCAAAAGAAAUAUAUCUAUCCUAAUAUUCCUCAUAUUAUAAAGCCGAGGUGUUUGUUUAUUUGAACGUGCAUAAUCUCGGGAACUGUAGGUCCGUUUUGAAAAAACUUUCAGUUUUAGAUAGCCCAUUUAUAGAUGAAGGCUUUAGCACAUAUUUCAUCACGGUAUAAUUAUUAGAAGCAAAGCGAUUAUGAAAUCUGUUACAAAAAGAGAAGAUCCGUGCAGACUAAAACUAUUAAUUCGAUUUUUAAUACACCUAAAUUAUUUCUUCAUAACACGUGGACAGAGUCGCGGCCAACAGCUGGUCAAAUAUAAAAUCGAACAAAAUAGCAUCUAUAGAGCAAGUAUUUAGUACCAAAAUGCUACCUAGAAAAAUGUUUGACAAUAAUUUAGACAUGGAUAUAGGGAGGGUUACACACCACACUGCCCUAAAUUGAAUAACUGCGCCAAGAUCGGCACAUCCUGCAUGCCCAUGCAAAUGUGAACAGAAUCUAAAUCUAUAUUUGUUUAUUACAAUGCAACAUUUAAAAACCUUAGUUACAGAUAGUUAUUAUGACAAGUAGAAUGUUUUUGUGUUUGACGCAACACCUGUAUUCGAAUCUUCAAGGUCUUUAAUUUUUUGGCUAAAGAAUUGUGAAGGAGGUUGAGUUUUUAUGUACAUCUAGAUGGCUAGGUAGGUUACGUAGAAACAAUGAAUUUGCAGAAGAUAUUUCGGUAAGGUAUUUUAAUUGUAUCAAAGAUUCUGUUAUCGAAAGACUAAUCUAAUUAAGAUACGACAGAUAAUUCCUAAAUUCUUAAUACUCGUCCUGAAACAAAAGCGGAUCGUACUAGUCAAAUUCUUAAGUAUAGGUAUCAAUCAUUCAGACAUGGAUCAUGCGCAGAAGUCGUGGUCGUGUUAUCGCAUUAUCUUACUCGAAAGACCAUUGUAAAUAAAUAUUUACGCGAAAUAAAGCCAAAUAUAUUGAUGUAAUAAAUGCGAUAUUCGAAUGACGAUGACGAGUUGAGUCGAUUGCUUACAUCAAGACAUCUACUGUUAAUCGAUACCAUGCUGCCAUGCCAGUGACACAUCAGAUAACGUAUUGUGUGCAAAAAAGAAUAUUCUUCUAUCUUUAUAGUCUUCCGUGCAUUUCUUUUAUUUUAUUAAAAUAUUAAAUAUGAUUAACUUUUGUCGUCAAGGCGAUAUGGUCUGUUCCUGGUGUUAUCUAAGAAGAAAAUAGUUACAUCUCGUAAAAAACCUACCUACUACAUCUUAUAAUGCAACGUUCUAAUUCAUCACAUGUAUGUCAAACGCAUUAUGAUCGAUGUUAUGCUAUAUACCUUACAUAGCUAUAGACAACGCUCGUUAAUCACUUGCUACUAGAGCUACUUCAUCAACAAUAAAUGAAAUAUAACAACCUUGUUUACAAUGUCUCCAGUGACCUAGCCAAGGUUUGAGUGUUUAAAGACUACAGUGUUACUUACGCUGAGAUCUUCGACGGCGCCAUCUACAUCGAAACCGAGGGUUUUGGGUGCAAAGUAACGGUAACUCUUCAUCG